CAUCAGAACUCCGCAGUUAAGCGUGCUUGGGCGAGAGUAGUACUAGGAUGGGUGACCUCCUGGGAAGUCCUCGUGUUGCACUCCU
rnacentral:rRNA from 1 species